UAGGUGGCGGUAUUGCACCUUAACGUUGGAUGCCACCCGCCAUAAAACAUAAGAAGAAGAAGAAGAACAGUAAGGUAAGUUUGAUUUAAUUCAUUUGUCUGCAUCGCGCUGAUCGGUUGCCUAUUUGUUCAUAUUAUGUUAUUUACUAUGAUUCGUUUUUGUCUUUAUACUAGAACUGUUUGAAUUUAAAGCACAAACAGUAAAACAUUAAGGUUAUACGUGGUACACAGCGGUAAACAUGAGGUUAAAAAUACGCGAAGUUACAUUCAAACCGGGCUGUUAAAAGAAUCAAUUCGAUGUUUAAAUUUUUAAAAACAAAACUUUAAAGAAGCCAAGAUGAGACGUUAUUUGCUUAAAACAAACAAAACAACAGUAACUCGUUUGUUUGAAAUGUUAGCAGCUAGCAAGUGUCUCUCUGCUAUUUUAAAUGGUACAGACGAUCUUUUGUUGUUUUAAAAGCUCAUUCAGUUCUGGUAGAUGCUGCUUAUUUUUCAAGACUGUUUUAAUAGCUUUAUAUUGAUUUGUAACAAAGCCAGCUUCACUUUAAGAGAACCUAGAUGCUAAUUGUAAAGAAGCUUGGAGUCAUAAUAUAUUUAAACGUUAUAUGUUUGCUGUUCUUCAUCUUUUUAAAUAUGAAGUCUAUUCAUGUUUGUGUUUACAGAGGUCAUGUACACUGUGGUCAACUUUGUGGACGAUGAAGAGGUUUCUGGGUAAAGAUGAUAGAAAUAUAAUGAAGUAACAGUGAAAGCUAAAACAUCAGACUGAUCCAGACACUGAAGAAAUUGAUGUCACUGCAAUCUGGCCAAAAUGAUACAACUAUAUUGAAGUAGCCUACUGUAAUGAAGCUGCGGAACAACACAAAGACUCUGAGGACAUCAACACAGAAAAUGAAGGCUCCAAAGAGAUGUCUGUCCAGAUGAGGGUGCAUCAAUGUUACGUUUGCUGACAAGUAUAUGCUUUACAAUGUAAAACCUAACAGUUAACUUAACUCAAACCAUUUAAGGAAAUCGGUUGCCUUAACCCAUUAAGUUUUAAAAAACAUACAUUUGAGUACUGUGAACUUAAGUCUUGUGCAAUUAUGCACUUAUAUUUAGUUAGUGUGAACUUAAAUAUAAGUGCAUAACUGCAUGUGACUCAAUUUGUUU